AUUGAACGCUGGCGGCAGGCCUAACACAUGCAAGUCGAACGAGUGGCGGACGGGUGAGUAAUGUCUGGGAACCUGCCUGAUGGAGGGGGAUAACUACUGGAAACGGUAGCUAAUACCGCAUACCAUCAGAUGUGCCCAGAUGGGAUUAGCUAGUGGGUGGGGUAACGGCGCACCAGGGCGACGAUCCCUAGCUGGUCUGAGAGGAUGACCAGCAACACUGGAACUGAGACACGGUCCAGACUCCUACGGGGGGCAGCGGUGGGGAAUAUUGCACAAUGGGCGCAAGCCUGAGGCAGCCAUGCCGCUGGUAGGAGGAAGGCCUUCGGGUUGUAAAGUACUUUCAGCGGGGAGGCGUUACCCGCAGAAGAAGCACCGGCUAACUCCGUGCCAGCAGCCGCGGUAAUAC
rnacentral:rRNA from 1 species